CUCUCUCUGUGUGUGUGUGUGUGUGUGUGUGUGUAAGGAGGUCACAGAAAGUGUAUUGAGAAAGAAGGACCAGCUAAGAGGCAAAGCCAGGGAGGGAGAGAGGGGGAAAGGAUGAUUGGAAGGAGAGCUGGGAGGCCAGGGGGCUUUCGAAAGACAGAUAAGAUGGUUCUGGAAAACCUUAGUCUCCCCUGAUUCAAGCUCACCCUUAGCUCAAGGUCAGGGUCCUACAACUUUCUCCCAGUGACCUCUGCUCUAACUGGCUGCCUCUCUGGUUCCUAUUGCAAUGAGUGCGCUUGUGAAAUAAUUUUAGCUGGCUAUCCAUCAGGUCUGAGGAUGCAAUGUCAUUUGCCCUAGAAGGCUCAAACCUGUGCCUUGGCUUUGUGUUAGGUUCUUGCUCCCAGGAGCAAAUGGCUUUUCACCUCUGGAUCCCCACCCUGAGCAUGUUUUGACCACGGAACUAGGCAGGCUUCAAGGAGCCAGGCUUUCCUGCCUGCCAACUGAAAUUUUGCCAGUGCUGAUUUUACACAUUCCUAUUAGUUUUUAACAAGUAUUUACUUUAGUUAUUAAAUAGCAACUGCAAGGCCAUAAACUUACAGAUCAUGUGACUGGAAGUUGAUGCUAUAAUUUUCUAAGGGUCUUUAUGUAGAACCAGCUUCCUAACCUUUCAUUAACCCCUGUCCUUGGUCAACUACUGCACAAUAAUUAAUUGAGCAUUUCCUGUGUGCAAAACCCCAUAGUAGAUCCUAUAGAAGGCAUAAAAAAGUCCAAUCCUCUUCCCUUGAGCCAGGAAAGGAGGAAGCGAGUACUGUGCUGACUCCAUCAAGCCUUUUGCUGGGAACCUCUCACUGCUCAGGCCUCAUUGUUCUCUACCCCAUUAUCAUCUGCCUUCCAACCAGCAGGGACUUCUCAGUUCCAGGCAGAAGUAGUGGAAAACCUGAAGAACUGGAAUAAUUGCCUCACCUCUCCAGUUCACUUUAAUCUUGGAGUCCCUGCUGCAGGCAGAUGUGGAAAUGGUCGCCUAUUAAGCAGGUGAGAACUACUGCAGACACACAGCAUCCAGGCACGUGCUGCAGGUGUGAACGUGUGUGCACACUGUGAGCAUGAAGAGCAGGAUUUACCAGGGUAACAGGAAGGGGUACUUAGG
rnacentral:lncRNA from 1 species